CGCUUGCACAGCAGUCUGACAGGACCGAUCUCCGAAUUGAUACACGUUAUAAAACCACAACUUAGAGCCUUGGGUAAAAAAAGGCAGAGUACCAGUGGUUAAAGACACACAAAAUGUGGACGUCAAAACAAAUGGUAUGUUAUGCUAUAAUUGAGAGAUAUUGUCCUUCAAAUUAAAUAUUUAAUACAUUUCCGUUGUCAUGCUCUCAUUUUGUCUCUUUUCUUAUAUCUUUUCAUAUAUUACUCUCAUGUGUCCUCUGUCCUUUUAAAUGUGCUUUGGUGUUUUGUAAGGCUACAUUUGCUCAUGAGGAAGAUGAUAACGAAGAGGAUGAGACUCCUUCAAACCAUAAGAUAGUGGAUGAUUCACACUCAACUGCAAAGCAAUGAAAGAUACUUGAAGGUGUGCAUCACGAAACUCAACGAACUCAGAACACUAAAUUGAACCCAGUCACCUUGGAUUAUGCCCAAAAGUGUGAGAAUUACAAGAAACGCACCAGAACUGUGAUGGACUCCAUUUCCACCUUAGAAAAAAUGACAACAUGCUCCGUCACAGGGAAAAAGGGACCACUGGUGAACAAAGACAGAGUCCUGACAGAGAAAGUGAAGCUAGUAAUAGGGAGCCUGCUGGAAGAGAAUCUGAGGACUGAUGCACAUAUAACAAUGGACAUGCAUAAAGACACAUCUCUCUCUCUCUCUCUCUCUCUCUCUCUCUCUCUCUCACACACACACACACACACACACACAGAUAUACAGUUGUUGUUGUAUGGACAGCAUUUUAUUGAUACUUGUUUUUUUAUGAAUA